rnacentral:piRNA from 1 species
UGCUGUGACAAAAUGCCAUGACCAACACUU